CCUACGGGGGCUGCAGUGGGGAAUAUUGGACAAUGGGGGCAACCCUGAUCCAGCCAUGCCGCGUGUGUGAAGAAGGCCCUCGGGUUGUAAAGCACUUUCAGUGAGGAAGAACGCCUGGUGGUUAAUACCCAUCAGGAAAGACAUCACUCACAGAAGAAGCACCGGCUAACUCCGUGCCAGCAGCCGCGGUAAUACGGAGGGUGCGAGCGUUAAUCGGAAUUACUGGGCGUAAAGCGCGCGUAGGUGGCUUGAUAAGCCGGUUGUGAAAGCCCCGGGCUCAACCUGGGAACGGCAUCCGGAACUGUCAAGCUAGAGUGCAGGAGAGGAAGGUAGAAUCCCCGGUGUAGCGGUGAAAUGCGUAGAGAUCGGGAGGAAUACCAGUGGCGAAGGCGGCCUUCUGGACUGACACUGACACUGAGGUGCGAAAGCGUGGGUAGCAAACAGGAUUAGAUACCCUGGUAGUC
rnacentral:rRNA from 1 species